rnacentral:tmRNA from 1 species
CGGCUUGCGAAAACCGCCUGAUAUCCCCAUAUUGGGGGUGCCGGCUCGUCCGGCUAUGGCGCUAAACGCCUAGCGGAAUAAGCACUGCGGACCCGGGGGCGGUACCCGGCGCCUCCACCAUAAGCCGCGUUCAAGCCGCGUUCGACCGGAAUUCUUCAGGUCAGGCGCAUCAAGACGCGGUUUGUGAUGGGGGCGAAAUAGGAUCGACGCGUGUAAUAAAGGCUAGGUCUGUGCUCGGCAUGGUACCACCGACAUCGGGCCAUUUUGAUAAGUGCCAACGAUAACACGGAAGCACUUGCUGUCGCGGCCUAACACGCCAUAACGACAACGGGGUUCGGGCGGCACCUGGCAACAGAAGCCGCCCACU